rnacentral:rRNA from 1 species
GACGAACGCUGGCGGCGUGCUUAACACAUGCAAGUCGAACGGAAAGGCCCUGCUUUUGUGGGGUGCUCGAGUGGCGAACGGGUGAGUAACACGUGAGUAACCUGCCCUUGACUUUGGGAUAACUUCAGGAAACUGGGGCUAAUACCGGAUAGGAGCUCCUGCUGCAUGGUGGGGGUUGGAAAGUUUCGGCGGUUGGGGAUGGACUCGCGGCUUAUCAGCUUGUUGGUGGGGUAGUGGCUUACCAAGGCUUUGACGGGUAGCCGGCCUGAGAGGGUGACCGGCCACAUUGGGACUGAGAUACGGCCCAGACUCCUACGGGAGGCAGCAGUGGGGAAGAUUGCACAAUGGGCGGAAGCCUGAUGCAGCAACGCCGCGUGCGGGAUGACGGCCUGCGGGGUGUAAACCGCUUUCGCCUGUGACGAAGCGUGAGUGACGGUAAUGGGUAAAGAAGCACCGGCUAACUACGUG